UGGGGUCUUUUAUCAACGGCGUAGUAGAAUGUGCUCAUUCAUUUUGCUCACCCGCCGUGUCGCACGGGUCGAGGUGACGAGACAACUUCGUCGUCUUGGUCAGUUGCCACCACGAGACGGGUUGUUGAGUCAUUGCUCCCUAUGGCGGGCUUGCCUUCUCAUCCACUUCUGGAAUUGGAUGACGAACAUCUUCCGAGUUUCAAAAUUUAAGUGUCCAUCGUCUUCAUUUACAGAAGAAUUGGGAACAUAAUUGGUUUAAUUUAUUAUUUAAUUGGGUAACCCCAAUCAUUGGUCAAAGAAAAGAAAUAGCUGUGACACUGAAAACAGUAUUGUAAGACGGCUCGAAGAACUCCAGUUUUUCAGUUAGACAAAAAGAGCAAGACGACACCUACUGGUCAAGCAAGAGUAAGUCGCCAUUGCAAAGGCGCCAAACAGAAUGGUCACAAUGGCCACUGAGCUCGAUGAUGUCAUCGUGCAACAAGAGGUACUGUACUUAGAGACUGAAGAAUCGCAGAAAAGCAGAGUGGUGGUGCAAAAAAUACUUAAAUAUUGAAGAGCGGCACACGUGCAUUCCGAAGUUUGGAGGUUACGUGUAAAAGACAAAGUGCAUUUUAGGUCUUCUGAAAUUCUAGUCAAGCUGAAGACAAUAGCGUAUGGUAUCGUAAUUACUGAUCAGAUUUGUACUCAGUGAUUAUCAAAAGGUUUCGGUCUAUUACAUUUGUUUAUUUCAGAUUCCGAGUUGAUAAAAUCAAUUAUGUUGAAUAAACCGUUUGAACUGACUACUUUCCAAGACAAUGUGUUGCCAUGGGUACACAAUUGUACAUGCAGACUUGUCAACCUCAGCAGGAGGGUGGGGAACAAUCCACUCUGUGGUCAGUUCUUGCAUUGCACAGGUUUAUCCAUUCAGUUAAUACCAUUUGUUCAAUUGGAUGAGGUUUUCUAAAUCUAAAAGUACAGACUGAAAUUGAGACAUCAAAACAUUCAGUACAACGAGCACCAACAUGAUGAGCCCAAACUGAAAGUUUUACUCUCUAUCGGAGUUGCGUUUCACCCAUUGACAAUCUAGAUCAGAAAGAAAAGUGAAUCCAAUAAAUGUUGAGACAUGAGA